UACGUAGGGUGCAAGCGUUGUCCGGAAUUAUUGGGCGUAAAGAGCUCGUAGGCGGCUUGUCACGUCGGAUGUGAAAGCCCGGGGCUUAACUCCGGGUCUGCAUUCGAUACGGGCUAGCUAGAGUGUGGUAGGGGAGAUCGGAAUUCCUGGUGUAGCGGUGAAAUGCGCAGAUAUCAGGAGGAACACCGGUGGCGAAGGCGGAUCUCUGGGCCGAUACUGACGCUGAGGAGCGAAAGCGUGGGGAGCGAACAGG
rnacentral:rRNA from 1 species